rnacentral:rRNA from 1 species
UACGAAGGUUGCAAGCGUUACUCGGAAUUACUAGGCGUAAAGGGCAGGUAGGUGGUCUGGUAAGUCUAUUGUGAAAGCUCCCGGCUCAACUGGGAGAGGCCAAUGGAUACUACCAGGCUUGAGUAUAGGAGAGGUUACUGGAAUUCCCGGUGUAGCGGUGAAAUGCGCAGAUAUCGGGAGGAACACCAAUGGCGAAAGCAGGUAACUGGACUAUUACUGACACUCAACUGCGAAAGCUAGGGGAGCAAACAGG